rnacentral:rRNA from 1 species
GACGAACGCUGGCGGCGUGCUUAACACAUGCAAGUCGAACGAUGAAGCUGGAGCUUGCUCCGGUGGAUUAGUGGCGAACGGGUGAGUAACACGUGAGUAAUCUGCCCUUGACUCUGGGAUAACUGCGGGAAACUGUAGCUAAUACCGGAUACGACACCUUCGGGCAUCCGAUGGGUGUGGAAAGAAUUUCGGUCAAGGAUGAACUCGCGGCCUAUCAGCUAGUUGGUGAGGUAAUGGCUCACCAAGGCGACGACGGGUAGCCGGCCUGAGAGGGUGACCGGCCAAACUGGGACUGAGACACGGCCCAGACUCCUACGGGAGGCAGCAGUGGGGAAUAUUGCACAAUGGGCGAAAGCCUGAUGCAGCAACGCCGCGUGAGGGAUGAAGGCCUUCGGGUUGUAAACCUCUUUUAGUUGGGAAGAAGCGAAAGUGACGGUACCAACAGAAAAAGCACCGGCUAACUACGUGCCAGCAGCCGCAGUAA